ACGCUCGACACCUACGGGAGGCAGCAGUGAGGGAUAUUCGGCAAUGGGGGAAACCCUGACCGAGCAACGCCGCGUGAGGGAAGACGGUUUUCGGAUUGUAAACCUCUGUCCUCUGUGAAGAUAGUGACGGUAGCAGAGGAGGAAGCUCCGGCUAACUACGUGCCACAGCCGCGGUAAUCUGAGCGGGCUGGCAAGGC
rnacentral:rRNA from 1 species